rnacentral:rRNA from 1 species
GUGGGGAAUAUUGGACAAUGGGCGAAAGCCUGAUCCAGCCAUGCCGCGUGUGUGAAGAAGGUCUUCGGAUUGUAAAGCACUUUAAGUUGGGAGGAAGGGCAGUAAGUUAAUACCUUACUGUUUUGACGUUACCGACAGAAUAAGCACCGGCUAACUCUGUGCCAGCAGCCGCGGUAAUACAGAGGGUGCAAGCGUUAAUCGGAAUUACUGGGCGUAAAGCGCGCGUAGGUGGUUUGUUAAGUUGGAUGUGAAAGCCCCGGGCUCAACCUGGGAACUGCAUCCAAAACUGGCAAGCUAGAGUACGGUAGAGGGUGGUGGAAUUUCCUGUGUAGCGGUGAGAUGCGUAGAUAUAGGAAGGAACACCAGUGGCGAAGGCGACCACCUGGACUGAUACUGACACUGAGGUGCGAAAGCGUGGGGAGCAA